rnacentral:rRNA from 1 species
UGGCCGUAAACGAUGUGGACUUGGUGUUGGAAUGGCUCCGAGCUGCUCCAGUGCCGAAGGGAAGCUGUUAAGUCCACCGCCUGGGAAGUACGGUCGCAAGACUGAAACUUAAAGGAAUUGGCGGGGGGAGCACAACAACGGGUGGAGCUUGCGGUUUAAUUGGAUUCAACGCCGGAAAUCUUACCGGGACCGACAGCAACAUGAAGGCCAAGCUGAAGACUUUGCCGGAUUAGCUGAGAGGAGGUGCAUGGCGUAGUCGUGU